UACAGAGGUCUCAAGCGUUGUUCGGAUUCAUUGGGCGUAAAGGGUGUGUAGGUGGCGCCGUAAGUCGGGUGUGAAAUUUCGGAGCUUAACUCCGAAACUGCAUUCGAUACUGCGGUGCUUGAGGACUGGAGAGGAGACUGGAAUUCAUGGUGUAGCAGUGAAAUGCGUAGAGAUCAUGAGGAAGACCAGUGGCGAAGGCGGUUCUCUGGGACGGUACUGACGCUGAGACGCGAAAGCGUGGGGAGCGAACAGG
rnacentral:rRNA from 1 species